AGGGUUUCGCACAAAACCCUAGCCGCCGCCCCAAAAUCACCUUUCUCUCACUUCGUCAUCAACCUGGAAAAGGCAAAGAAUCAGACGCGUUUUGCUUUCCAAAGGAUGUGUGUGUCCAUUUUGGGUAAAGUAAUUAAUGUAAUUGCUUUACCCUCUCUCCGUCGAUGCACCGCCCAAACAAUGGGGAAGCAUAAGACUUCAAUUUCAUUCUCGACAAAGGCUGCACAAAAAAGAGGUAAUUUUCUCUCUUUUAUUUAUUUUUAGCAUUUUUUUAUUUGCUUGCUAUGUGUUUAUAUGUUAUUUGUUGUGAUCUGUGUUUUAGUGUUAGUUUGUUUUAAGUCUUGAUUAGUCAGCUAUGUAUGCUUAGCUUAGCUUAGUAUUUUCUUAAGUAUGCUGAUACAUGUUUAGCUUAGCUCAGUAUUGAUUACCUGGAAUAGUUUAGGUUGUUAUUAUGUAUUAGUUAAUAUGUCUAUAGACUCUGCUUGACUUAAUUAAAGGCCUAAUCAUGUGAUUGGGUUAGAAAUCUGUUGGUUCUUUGAUAUGUUGAACUAAUAUUCAACUAUGUAUUUAGAAAGGUUCUUAGCAUCUCCAAUUUGCUUGUGUACUGUACCUACCUGAUUAAAUGCUAGUAAUCUAGUUGUAUACUUGAACUUCAAAGCUGAUUAGCAUGAGUUACUCAAUUGUAGCCGUUUUGACAAUAUAGAAAAAUAUUGAAAAGGAAAACUACUUCGAAGAUGAACCUGUUCCCAUGCAAUAGUCAAGAAUUCUUGACAUAGCAGAGGUUUAUAUUAUUAUGCUCUAUUGAAUGGGGACUAAUUAGUUGGAUCUUAGUCUAAUUAUCAUGUGAAUAGCCUCCAUGUCUUUUCUUAAUAAUCAGAUGACAGACCAAGUGUAUGUGAAGAUGAAUAUAUGAGUUCUGAGUAUUAAAUAUGCUUAGUUGAUUGCACUAUCCAAACAUGUACCUCUUCUUGACUUGACUGAGUUUAUUGGAAACCUGUUUACACACCUAGGGAGAAUAUGUCUAAGAUAAUCAAAUUAUGAGGGAUGAGGGGAAAUCUUGUGUGUUCUAUGUAGUUUAGAUUUUGGUGAUCAGUUGCAGAUUCAAAAAAUGUUUGAAACAUGCUUGUCUUUUUGGUUCCUUCAAUUGUUUCAUCCCCUGAUAAAUGUUUAGUUUGUCUGUUCAAAUGUUGGCUUGGAUUAAAUUUAGUUUGAUCAUUGGUUUGCAUGCACAUAACAUUUGUUCACUGUAGGACAGCAUUUGGAUUACAUAAUUGCAUGUUUAAAUUAAGUUAGUCAUUUACCAUUUUGUUUUAUCUAUCAUGUCCUAUUAUGAGGUCAGUAGUGGUUUAUCAUGUUUUGACAUCAAGAUAAUUGGGAGUGUUUUUCUAUCUGAGAAUUACCUUUAUGUGAUUUAAAGGACUAAACUAGGACACAACUGAUUCAUAUUCAUGUUCGUCCCUUCCCUCUCCCCUUUGUUUUGAAUAAAUCAACCUAUGUAUAUUGUUGUUAUGAUGACUUGAGAUUAGUUUGAAAUUGUUUAAUUAUGAAUUUGCAUGACCCCUUUCCCCUUUACCCUUUGUCAUGUCCAUAGCAUUGUUAGGUAAUAGAAGCCAUAAAGGGCUUACUAUGUUGAAUGUGAAUUUCCUUGCAUAAAACUGGAAUUUGCUUUGUUCAUCUAAAUGGCUAUGUGUUGCUUAAUUCUGAAACUGCUCAUCUUAAAUUCUGAACCUGCUCAUCUUAAUUUUAACUUAACAUAAAAAUGAAAGGCUAGUUUGGUCUCUUUUGCCAUCAGUCUCUCUUUCCCUUUUAGCUUUCUUUUUGAAAAAAAUAAAAUUAAGUUAUGUAUUUUCACUUUCUAAACCAAUGUAAAACUAAAAAAUAGAUAUCCAAUAUUAUUGUCAUUUCUAGUGUUAGAAUUGUGUCUCAUUUGUUGGAGUUGUGUUUGGAUAAAACCAUGAUAAUAGUUUGUGAGGGAUUAUCCUUAAGCUAUAUCCAUGCUAGAGUAGUAUAAUUGCUACUGACCUUAGGCCUUAAAUUGAAAAGAUGUUCAUCUAUGUUGUUAAACAUUGACAUAAACAAAUGUGUAAAACAAAUAGGUGUUAAAUGUAUCAUGCAUGAUUUGGUAUAGUUGGUAUAUGUUUGACAUGGUGUGUUCUAUGCUUAUCUCUAUCCUUUGCCCAUUUCUGUGCAGCGAAUAUACUAGUAUAUGCAGGAAAUAUAGGCUAUAUACAGCCUAUAUAUACUUCAGUGUAUAUAGGAAGGUAUACUUUGUAUAUCAAUAAGUUAAAUUCCAUAAUAGGCAUGUUGUUGUGACAAGGCUUUGGGCCCAGGCUUCUAUUUGUUUUACUUGUUGGACUUGCUAUUCUUUCUUUCUUUUUUUUUUCUUUUUUUUUUUCUGCCAUAGAUGGGCUUGCCCUUGUCUUGGCUUUAAUUUUGGGCCUAUGGCUUUGAAGCUAGCAUGUCUGUUGGGGCCAUUAUUUCAUUAGGUUAUUUUGGUAAUGUAUAGUACUUAUAUUCUGUGUACGUAUAUGCAUGCUUGAUUUACAUAUGAUUGUAUUUCCUACUUGAGUUCUUAUUCAUUUAUUUAUUAAGUAUAGAUGCCCUCUAACCACAAUUUUCCUUUCCCCCCUCUCCCCUUUUGCAUGAAACCAUCGACGUGGGCCACUUGGGCCGAUCUCCCAUUGAAAACCUAUUGGGCCCAACUUCUUCCUUUGAUCAAGUUCGGAUAACAAAAGUAGUUGAAGGCCCAACCAUGGGUGAAAAUGGUCAAUUGGCGGGCUUCGGUAGGCCCACCAGCCUAACUCUUUUUAUUUUGAUUUCAUGUUAUAUAUUCGUGUGUAUUUUUAUGAAUACUUGUAUAAAUAUUGAAAACCAAAUGCGUUAGAAUUUAGGAAA